rnacentral:lncRNA from 1 species
AGCUGGGAAGGCCAGGAAGGCCCGGCUGUGACACUCCGCUGCUGAUCCCGCCUCGGAUUUCAUCCACCCCUCGAUUCCGGAGCUGGAUUAUGCCCGGUUUUCCUCACAGACACUUUGUGAGGCACUGCAGCCCCAGCUAAAACAUUGGGGGUUGGGAGUAAAAAUAACCGGGGAUGAUCCGCUCGUUGGGAGCACAACGAUUAACGCCAAGCUGGCAUUGCACGAAGUCCCACCCCAAUCGCAAACAAGCCCUUUAAAAGGGAGAUGCUCCAGGCUCCUCACCACUGUCUUGGGCAAACCCAUCACAAACAGGCCCGUUGGAGACACCUGGGGAUCCUCAGCACCUGCAGCAUCUUGGUCACCUUGCUGGACACACGUUUUCAUCUUCAAAAUCAUCUCUGAAAGCUCACAAAGACAUCAGGAGGCUCCUGAUGGCCAGAAAAUGGCCAACAUCCCACAGGUGUGCAAGGAGGAGACUCCAGGGGUACAGAUUCAGGUUCACCUGGCAGAGCAGCCAAGCACAGCCUCAGGACAGGGCUCAGCAGAGCCCCAGCUGAGGCUUAAAUAUCCCCACCGGCAUGGAUGGAUGGAUGGAUGGAUGGAUGGAUGGAUGGAUGGAUGGAUGGAUGGAUGGAUGGAUGGAUGNNNNNNNNNNAUGGAUGGAUGGAUGGAUGGAUGGAUGGAUGGAUGGAUGGAUGGAUGUGUUAUGUGUAGUAAACAUAAUUCGCGCCACUCCUUGUAUGAAAUAUGUAAUAUUGGAUACUUGUUAGAUUAUGCUCGUGUGUAUUAGAAGCCUCCCCACCCUCGCAGGCAAGACACUGUUGUAUAUUAGAACCCGGCCAGGAGAUGGGCCAUGUCUGGAGAGAUACGGGAACCCUGUGGGCUGAUCACGGCGUGAACAACCCGGGAUGGAGAUCAUGGAAAUCCUCGGGCAGAUACAUGUGAAUGCAGCCUUCCCGUAAAUGUCAUCGAGGGAGUCAACAACUCCGGACACUGAAUUGUUCUUUCUCAUCACCAAGAAAGAAAAUCGCAUUAACAUAUGGACUCUGAAUGGAAGAAAAGACUGACUGCCGAAAUCUUGGCCUCAGGCGGAAUUUUCCCUAUAAAAACAGCUGGUGCCAGGAUGGAGGUGUGGACAUAGAGGAAAACCUCUGCUGAGGCUGACCUCGUUGUUGCACACCCAGGGCCAACCCCGGGCUUGGCUCUGUCCUUUCC